rnacentral:rRNA from 1 species
UACGAAGGAUUCGAGCGUUAUCCGGAUUUAUUGGGUUUAAAGGGUGCGUAGGUGGACUAAUAAGUCAGUGGUGAAAGCCCGCAGCUUAACUGCGGAACUGCCAUUGAUACUGUUAGUCUUGAGUACAGUUGAGGUGGGCGGAAUGUGUCAUGUAGCGGUGAAAUGCUUAGAUAUGACACAGAACACCGAUUGCGAAGGCAGCUCACUAAGCUGUAACUGACACUGAGGCACGAAAGUGUGGGUAGCAAACAGG